UCUAAGCAAAACAGCUAGCCUAGCCAUAAUAAAACAAAUGACCAACCAUAUAUAACAAAACAAACCCAAAUAAAAUAAAACAUUCUUCCCCCUAAGUAUAGGUGAUAGAAAAGGACAAAAUAGAGCAAUAGAAAAAGUACCGCAAGGGAAAGCUGAAAGAGAAAUGAAACAAACCAUACAAGCAAAAAAAAGCAGAGACUAAAACUCGUACCUUUUGCAUCAUGGUUUAGCAAGCAAAAAUCAAGCAAAGAGAACUUUAGUUUGAGACCCCGAAACUAGACGAGCUACUCCGGGGCAGCCUAAUUAGGGCCAACCCGUCUCUGUGGCAAAAGAGUGGGAAGACCCCCGAGUAGAGGUGAUAAGCCUACCGAGCCUAGUUAUAGCUGGUUGCUUAAGAAAUGAAUGUUAGUUCAGCCUUAUGUAAUUCUAUAACCAAACCAAUUAACCAAAAGAACAAAAGCAAUACAUAAGAGUUAGUCAAAGGGGGUACAGCCCCUUUGAAACAGAACACAACCUUAUUCAGGAGGACAAAGAUCAUAUUAUAAAAGGACAAAAUUACCUCAGUGGGCCCAAAAGCAGCCACCUGUAAAGAAAGCGUUAAAGCUCCGGUAAAUAAAGACCAAUAAUAAAGACAAUACACUCCCAAUCCCCUAAGAAUAUUAAGCUAUCCUAUGCACACAUAGGAGAAAUAAUGCUAAAAUCAGUAAUAAGAGGAUCUAAAUCCUCUCCUAGCACACGCUAUCCUAUGCACACAUAGGAGAAAUAAUGCUAAAAUCAGUAAUAAGAGGAUCUAAAUCCUCUCCUAGCACACGUGUAAGUCAGAACGGACCCACCACUGACAAUCAACGGACCCAAACAGAGAGAAAAAGAACAAACUACAAAAAACAAGAAAAAACUAUUUAACAUCCAAAACCGUUAACCCAACACAGGAGUGCCUCAAGGAAAGACUAAAAGGAGAAGAAGGAACUCGGCAAACACAAACCCCGCCUGUUUACCAAAAACAUCGCCUCUUGCUAACAAAGGAAGUACUAGAGGUCCCGCCUGCCCUGUGACCACAAAGUUUAACGGCCGCGGUAUCCUGACCGUGCGAAGGUAGCGUAAUCAUUUGUCUUUUAAAUAGAGACCUGUAUGAAUGGCAUAACGAGGGUUUAACUGUCUCCCUCCCCUAGUCAAUGAAAUUGAUCUGCCCGUGCAGAAGCGGACAUAAACACAUAAGACGAGAAGACCCUAUGGAGCUUUAGACAAAAGAUCAAACAUGUAAAGAAACCUAGCUAACCAAAAGGAACACAAAGGCCACAAAACCAAACGUUAAAGAUCCAAAUGUCUUCGGUUGGGGCGACCACGGGGGAAAGAAAAGCCCCCACGAGGAACAGGGACAAUCCUUAAGUCAAGAGAUACACCUCUAAGCAACAGAAAAUCUGACCAAAAAUGACCCAGGACACUAAUCCUGAUCAACGAACCAAGUUACCCUAGGGAUAACAGCGCAAUCCUUUCCCAGAGUCCAUAUCGACGAAAGGGUUUACGACCUCGAUGUUGGAUCAGGACAUCCUAAUGGU
rnacentral:rRNA from 1 species